rnacentral:tRNA from 1 species
CGACGCCGUAGCGCGGGACGUCCCGGCCGGCGUCGGCGGCGCCGCGCAGCCGGUCGGCGAGGACGUCGGUCCAGCGCCGGUUGGUGCCGG